rnacentral:rRNA from 1 species
UACAGAGGGUGCAAACGUUGUUCGGAUUUACUGGGCGUAAAGCGCGUGUAGGCGGCCUUGCAAGUCGGAUGUGAAAGCCCACGGCUCAACCGUGGAAGUGCAUCCGAAACUGCAUAGCUUGAGUCUCGGAGAGGAAGGUGGAAUGCUUGGUGUAGAGGUGAAAUUCGUAGAUAUCAAGCAGAACACCUGCGGCGAAGGCGGCCUUCUGGACGAUGACUGACGCUGAGACGCGAAAGCGUGGGGAGCAAACAGG